AGUGUGGACAGAAGGCUCACUACGCCAACAAGAGUGGGAAGAGUCGCCCAGAAAUCCUGCUGGAAAAGUGAUUUGAACCUUCCUGCAGGAAAAGUGGACGGAAGACACCCGGAGUGCAGUGGGGCUGAGGAGAAGGCGCCCGGGAGGGCGGUUCGACCAGCCAAGCCGGUCCGAUUUGCUGGGUGCCGAGCACCAGAGGAGAAAUGGCACUGCCUUAAUGCAACUGAAAUAGGACUCGUCACUGUGCACAGGGGUGUGCGAACAGCCGGUGCCAGGCCCUGGGAAAGCCAGGGUGCGCUCGGAUCCGGAGCAGGGCUGAGGAGCACUGUGCGAGCGGAGCACAGGGGAAGGAGGAGAAAUGGAAAACUCACAGGAGCUUUAGUGCUAGCAAGGGGGAGUCCUUGAUGAAACACCUCUGACACACAUACUGCUGCACCUCACUGCGAAUAAACAGCUUAGAUUUUUUUUUUCCAUUG